UGAACGCUAGCGGCAGGCUUAACACAUGCAAGUCGAGGGGUAACGGGGAAGCUGCUUCCGCCGACGACCGGCGCACGGGUGCGUAACGCGUAUACAAUCUACCUUGUACUGGGGUAUAGCCUUUAGAAAUGAAGAUUAAUCCCCCAUAGUCUCUUAGAGUGGCAUCGCUUCUAGAGUAAAGGUUACGGUAUAAGAUGAGUAUGCGUUCUAUUAGUUUGUUGGUGUGGUAACGGCACACCAAGACUACGAUAGAUAGGGGCCCUGAGAGGGGGAUCCCCCACACUGGUACUGAGACACGGACCAGACUCCUACGGGAGGCAGCAGUGAGGAAUAUUGGACAAUGGAGGCAACUCUGAUCCAGCCAUGCCGCGUGCAGGAAGACUGCCCUAUGGGUUGUAAACUGCUUUUAUACAGGAAGAAACACCUCUACGUGUAGAGGCUUGACGGUACUGUAAGAAUAAGGAUCGG
rnacentral:rRNA from 1 species